rnacentral:rRNA from 1 species
UACGGGGGGGGGCAAGCGUUUGUUCGGAAUUACUGGGCGUAAAGAGCUCGUAGGUGGUUUGUCGCGUUGUUCGUGAAAACUCACAGCUCAACUGUGGGCGUGCGGGCGAUACGGGCAGACUAGAGUACUGCAGGGGAGACUGGAAUUCCUGGUGUAGCGGUGGAAUGCGCAGAUAUCAGGAGGAACACCGGUGGCGAAGGCGGGUCUCUGGGCAGUAACUGACGC